rnacentral:rRNA from 1 species
AACGAACGCUGGCGGCAUGCCUAACACAUGCAAGUCGAACGAGACCUUCGGGUCUAGUGGCGCACGGGUGCGUAACGCGUGGGAGCCUGCCUUUAGGUUCGGAAUAACUCAGAGAAAUUUGAGCUAAUACCGGAUGAUGUCUUCGGACCAAAGAUUUAUCGCCUUUAGAUGGGCCCGCGUUGGAUUAGCUAGUUGGUGGGGUAAAGGCCUACCAAGGCGACGAUCCAUAGCUGGUCUGAGAGGAUGAUCAGCCACACUGGGACUGAGACACGGCCCAGACUCCUACGGGAGGCAGCAGUGGGGAAUAUUGGACAAUGGGCGAAAGCCUGAUCCAGCAAUGCCGCGUGAGUGAUGAAGGCCUUAGGGUUGUAAAGCUCUUUUACCCGAGAUGAUAAUGACAGUAUCGGGAGAAUAAGCUCCGGCUAACUCCGUG